UCCCCACAAGAAUGUAACCUCCCAGAGGGAAAGAUUGAAGGCAAGAGGAGAAGGGGACGACAGAGGAUGAAAUGUCUGGAUGGCAUCACCAACUCGAUGGACAAGAGUUUUGAGGACGCUCUGGGAGUUGGUGAUGGACAGGGAGGCCUGGUGUGCUGCUGUCCAUGGGGUCACAAAGAGUAGGAAACGACUGAGCGACUGAACUGAGAGGGAAGCCACUCUCCUUUAUCUCGCAUCUCCUGUGCCCCUGGAGAGGGUGCAGCCAGUUUUGCUGCAUCAGUGGUUGUCUAGUUCUCUAGGAACUAAUGCAAUCCACGGCUGGUGCAAGAGAAUUACAACUUGGAACCUGACUUUGUGAAGAUACAAUGGCAAAGAGCCUUGAUAAGUAGUGGGCACAACCCACAGCUCCAUGCAUCCAGGAGAAAAGACCUAGAAGGGGUCACCCUGCCGGCCUUGGAGCCUUCCAGGUACUUAUAAAGGCAAUGUACCGCAUUUCACACUUACACAGCCCUUCCGAGCUCACAGCGCGGCACCCGGAUUCCCUCAAAACCUCCCCUGUGUGUUUGGGACGCACCAGCCUCGUUUCACCCAGAGAAGAGCAAGGUCUGUGCAAUGCUGUCAAGCCCCAGAGCCCAGAGCCGAGCUGAAGGGCUCUUCCCCAGUCACUGGGACCAAAGAUAGUGGGUGGCAGCAAAGAGCUCAGAGGAGGAAAUUUAUUCUCCUUGCUUGUUUUAUGGUUCUUAGGGUGUUACCAUAACAGCAUGAAUUCCUCCCUGAACUCGGCAGAACAUAUGGGAAACCUAUACUUAGCUUAUCAUUUCAAACCCUUCCUCCCCCACACCCUUCUCUCCCCCUCCAGGAGGCCUCAAUA